GUCAGCUAUAAAAUAAAUCUGAAAUGAGUAGUACUUUAGAUGUGAGCUUUUAAGAUAACAUAAUGUAACUAUCAGAUUUCCUAUGUGGCCGUAUGGUGGCUCAUCUGCAGGUGAAUUAGUUACACAAAUAGAAAUCUCAAUAUUACUGACAACAUAUGUCACUCAAAACUUAGGUUACUAGGUUUACGUGGUGGAUUAUAUCUUAUUGCCUUACAGUGUCAGGGAUUAAACCUACAACCCAAGAGGAGUUCUGAAAAAAAACAUCGCAGCCAUUGUCAUGCUGGGUGUAUUGAGCCACAGAGAAUAAUCAUUAUGUAGUUACAUAGUAAUCUAGAUUGAAGAAAGUCCAUCUAAAAAAAAAAAACAAUUUGAAGAAAACUCCAAAUUAUGCCGCAAAACAUUUACUUCUUGACUCUGAUUAUUAUCAGAUUUCUUCUUGGAUCAACAAACUGUCCACAUACAUAUUUAUUAUACUCCUGAAUAUUCUGGUUUUCCAAAAAAAUCAUCCAUGCGUUUUUAAAAAAUAUUUACAGAAUCUGAUAAGACAACCUCUUUAGGUUGAAUUCCAUAUCUUUUUUGUCCUUACUGUAAUAAUCCGUUUCCUUUGCUGUAAGAGAAAAUGACUUCUUUCUUGUUGUUGUAUAUUCCUUCUAAUUGACAAGUUAGCACCUAAUGGUUUUGUACUGAUCCGCUAUUUGUAUUUGUAUAGUGCUAUGAUAUUCCAUCUGGGACACAUUUGAGACUAUAAAUGUAGUCUUUCCUACACUAUGCUCCUCACUCAGAGGAAAUUACCAAGCUUCAUGGGAAAGUGUGAAUCAGCCUUGUAAGAAAUCUUCACGCACGUACAAUGAUCCAAAAUAUGUGACCUUACUCAACACUGUGCACUCUAGUUAGACCCAAGAAUCCGCUUAUAAACUAUUAACCCUCUGGUGUAGGACUCCCCAAGUAAUGCAUGU